CCUACGGGAGGCAGCAGUGAGGAAUAUUGCGCAAUGGGCGAAAGCCAGACGCAGCAACGCCGCGUGGGCGAUGAAGGUCUUCGGAUCGUAAAGCCCUUUUCUAGGGGAAGAGGAAGGACGGUACUCAGGGAACAAGUGU
rnacentral:rRNA from 1 species